rnacentral:antisense_RNA from 1 species
ACCGCGGUGUGGCCAGGAAGAGGGACUGGGGGUGGGGGUGGGUGCCCAGAGCUUGCACAGAUCCCCAUGUCAAGCGGACACCCGCCUGGCUCUUCAGUAAAAGAGUGAAGAAAGGCCGAGCACAGCGCGAAGGAAACCUCAGGUCUCCGGCAAGGCAGGAGAGGAGACCAAGUGACUCCCCGAAACCCACCUUCCAGCCCUUCGAGAGGCCCAGAGUCCAGCCGGAGCAAGCGUAACGCUAGUCCCUGGCGCGCAUCCCCGCAGACCCCAGCUCGCCCCGGGGUCCCGCCGCCGCCGCCGCCACCGCCUGCGACUGCGAGGGUCCUGGCCCGAGGGUGCACCAGCACCUCCUUCCACUACCGGCCCUUUAUCUGACAAAAGAGCCGGAGCCCAUGACUCUCCGACUGUGAGCAGUGUGGCCUUUCCAAGCCUCCAGAACUUUCUCAUUACAACUUUUCCGGGGUCGCACUACUCCCUGGGCCGCGCGGGCUCGGGCAUGAGGACCUGGCCAGGGCGCAGCGCCGGCACGAAGGCGCGCGCGGGAGAACUAACUGUUUCCUCAGCCGCGUGCCGGGGAACUAACUGUUUCCUCAGCCGCGUCCAGCCUCGCAGCACUGCUCUUCUGCUUGCUACUCCAGCGAAGGGACAUGCCUGCUGGCCAGGACGCUAGUGGGCCUCGUAGCCUGGCGAGUGUGUGCCCGCGCGUGUCCACCCUGCCCCCGGCCGGUGCGCCCCGCGCGCCCAAACCCGGCCGGCGACCACUGCGCGCCGGGCGCUUCCAAACGGCUCCUGUCCAGAGGCAUCCCUCUUUCGGCUUUCUCCAUCCCGCGUCCGCUUCCGCACCCGAGAGCGACAAGCAAAAAAGAUUCAGUGCAACUCAAGGACUGGUUUGUUUUACUCAAAAUGUACCAGGAACAGGAACAAAAGUAUUUUAUUAAAUAAUUAAUUUUUAUGGGCUAUGAGUCCCAAAUGGUUAUGUAAUCAAAGUGGAAGCAGAAAAGCAUGGCUUAGAAAAUAAUUGGUCAUGUCAUGUCACGCUUAACACAUGUUCUUGCUCUGUCGCCCAGGUUGGAGUGCAAUGGCGCAAUCUCGGCUCACUGCAAUCUCUGCCUCCCGGGUUCAAGCAAUUCUCUUGCCUCAGCCUCCUGAGUAGCUGGGAUUACAGGCACGUGCCACCAU